AUCGCGAGAUCAGGAAGGUGGCCGAGUGUUUCGCCGCGGCCAUCAGGCACUUCUCCUUCCUGCCAUUGUAUGAAGAAGGAUGUGUUUGCUUCCCCUUGUGCCAUGAUUGUAAGUUUCCUGAGGCCUCCUCAGCCCUGCGGAACUGGGGUUAUAGCCAUAUGACUGAUCUUUGUCCAAGAAUAUGUAAAGCAAAAGUGUUGAGUUGGCUUUUAGGGCUAGAGCAAUGUAUCUUAGGCUCACUUAAGGAAGCUGUAGAGAUGAGCCCAAGGAGGGAAACCAGAAGAGCCCCCCAGGCUCGCCAGUUGUUUGUUGGCUCCCUACAAACAUGUCAUUCAAGUGGCUAAUCUUACAACAGCACAAAUUCAUCUAACCAGAAAGAGAAGAGGAGGCUCCAAAGGCACUUGACUACUGAGCAUCACCCUGGACGUGUACAAGUCUGCGUCCUUAUUGUUUUCUUCAUUGGGCCGAACUUUCUGGUCCUCAUCCAACAGCUCUUCUAUCACGUGUUCGAAAGUGUCAGCCAACGAUGUCAAGCCUCUUGAACCUGCCUUGGGCCCAUUCACGCUCUCCAGAGUCCCAUGGGUCCGCACACCUGGAGAUACUCUAUUAUAGCAAAGAAGAAAGAUAAUUUCAUUGAGCCAUCCUGUUUUACAGUAUUGAAUUAUUACCACAAGGUACCAACCAUAUAUGCAUACUUAAUAGGGUAUUUUGUCAAAACUAUGCAUGAAGGUCAUUUGUUUGAGAUGUCAGAACAUUUUCCCGUGAGAAGAUCUCAUUGGGCAUUGAAACAGAACCACAUGCUUUUCAGACCAGCAACCGCGACUACCAAAUACUCCUCUGUCAACUCUACUUGAGUAAGAAUGCUUUCAAUUAAGGCCUAAGUGUCAACAUGCCUUUAAAAAAAUCGUGGUGACAUAAAAUCUUUCUUUUUGGCACCCAACAGAAUCCCUUCAAAGCCUGGUGGUCUGACACCCUAUGCUACGUGACUCGUGACCCAUCCAUUUGUCAUGUUGUUUGGGAAUGUGGCUAAGGGGCUGAGAUGUGACUUGAAAAGAAAGGUAGAACCAGAUCAUCUCAAAUUUAUUAUCAAGGAAUAGUUCAGACAACGACUUCCGACCACAGAGACAGCAGAACAGAUGGUCCGACAUGGAUAGAGCAUCAGACACUCACAGACUGUGCCAACAAGAGCCAUCGAGUCAAAACCGCCAAAGGAAGGAGGGUCAUGGAAUGGGUUCUCUCACACCAAACUGAUGCCCAGAGGCCCUUGGCAUGAAUAACAAAGGCAACCAGACCCACAAGCCAUACUGAGUGGAUACAAAACCUAUACCUAGGCUGACAUCCCAAAUGUGUGUGGCAAGUUAGAUGAUGAUGGCACAAAAGACAGAACACCUUGCUUCUGGCCAUUGUCAGCUCUUGGAAGAGAGCACACUUUUAGAGGAGCAGCUGCAAGGAGCCUGAGAACAAAACUAGAAAUGUCUGUUAUGAAAGCCUUCGCAGGAAAUUCUGCAAGUGGCAACGUGGGUCAUUCCGUGUGUGUCACUAGAGCUGGCGCAAGCCCAUGGCCAUGGUGAGGCAGUGUUUCCACUGGAACUAAUCUGAUACCUGCACCAGCUCUUGGAACUGUGCAGUGUUCCCACUGCAAACUACGGAUGGGGUAAAAGACUGCUCACCUCCUAUUUCUCAUCUAAUCUCACACACUCUGUUUGAUGAGGCUAUGGAGAAACAGGUCUUCUCAUACACUAAUGGUGGGAGUACAAACAAUUCAAGCCCUGUGCAGGACAAUUAGGCAAUACCUAUCAAAAUUAUACAUGAUUUUUCCUGCUGACCCAGCAAUUCCACUUCUGGGAAUAAUUGACAGAUAUAGGUGCAUAUGUACAAAAUGAUGGAAAGCUCUCUGGUAUGUAUUAGUAAGUGAUAAAACAAGGUGUAAAAUAGUGUAUAUAUGGCUACUACCUUUUGUUUUAAAAAUGGGGGAAAAUGGCGGAGCUUGCGGUGAGCCGAAAUCGUGCCACUGCACUCCAGCCUGGGCGACAGAGCGAGACUCCAUCUCAAAAAAAAAAAAAAAGGGUGGGGUGGGGGGGAAAUAAUAGUACAUAUUCAUAUUUACCUGUAUCUAUAUAAAACACACUAUCAAGGAUUCACAAGAAACUAAUACAAAUGAUCACCUUAUAGAUGGUAUGUAUUGGGGGAUACUGGGGUGAGCAGGGUAUAAGUGGGGCAAGACUUUUCAAUGUAAACUUCUUUUAAAUUUUAUUUUGAUUUUUGAAUAAUGUAAAUUAACUGUCAAAUAAUUAAAUUAAAAAUAACCAAUUUUUUAACAAAACA
rnacentral:antisense_RNA from 1 species